UACGAAGGGGGCUAGCGUUGUUCGGAAUCACUGGGCGUAAAGGGCGCGUAGGUGGUUCUGUAUGUCUACCGUGAAAGCGUACGGCUCAACUGUAUUUUGUCGGUAGAAACUGCAGGACUUGAGGCUGGGAGGGGCUGGUGGAAUUCCCUGUGUAGCGGUGAAAUGCGUAGAGAUGGGGGAGAACACUCGUGGCGAAGGCGGCCAGCUAGACCAGUUCUGACACUGAGGCGCGACAGCGUGGGGAGCAAACAGG
rnacentral:rRNA from 1 species